GUUAUGUAGUAAAUAAAGACACUGAUGAGUUUUUCUUAUUUAAAUAUUGUCAAAUACUCUAAUAUAGUCCUAUACUGCCAUAAUAGCUGUGAUGGUGGAAUAGACACUAGGGUUCUGUGGUGCCUACUAUUUGUUGUAGGACAUCUUGUUCCAGCUUGACGUUGGAUCCCCUCCUUAAGUGUGCUGUGUAAAAAAUUCAAAUGAAAAGCUGUGAAAGCAAUGAAAGCUGUUUUUGUCUCCAAAGAACACCCCAACCAGAACCCACAUCUGAAGGAUCACAAUGUGCCCAUAAUUCUACAGCAGACACAUAUACCUCACCGGAGGAAAAGGAAGAUCUGGAAUUGCUUGAGAGAGCACUGGAGAAAGCUCUUCAGGUCCGCACUGCUUCAGAAGUUUCUGAAAAAGACCCCAAAAGAAGCAAGCAGGCUGUACCUAGAACAGAACCAGGUGCUGCAAGCGCCUCAUGCAAAGAUGGAAUCCAGUCGUCAGCGCCAAUUCAAAAAACUGUCCGAUCUAAGUCUGCUAUCAUUGACAGGAAAUUGCCUAAAAAGCCUGGGUCAUUAACAGUAGUGUCAAAACCUUCAGCUGGACAGUCUAAAACCAUAAAUAAUAAAAAGGGAAUCCAGAAUCGUCCUGCCUCAUCAAUUAAAGUUGUGCAACACCAGGGAGAAAGGAAAUCACAGCAGGCUGGUUCAGCUCAUUCCUCCAUUGCUCACACCUCAACAUUACACUCCAAAAACACAACUAUUCGAAGUAAAAGAGAUGAUAAACCGGACGAAGAUGCCACCACCUCUAGAGGACCUCAUUCACACACUGAUGAAUUAGGGGCUUCGAGCUUGCCUCCACAAGACUGGAAACCGACUGAGCAGAAAAAAGAAAAUAGAAUUUCCAUAGAAAAAUGGAAAUCUCUAAGGAUGAGGCAAAACAGGUUGUGGGACAAAGUCAAUGCUCUGCAAAAGAAGCCUGUGCCUGAGAGGAGUCACUUCAUAGAGCGAAUGAGAGCUACGUUCCCGAAGGAUUGGCCAAGCGGAAGUCCAGAUCAGAUCAGGGCUCUGGUCGACAGACUGACUCACCAAGGCCGUGACCUCAUCCAGCACUGCCAGACAAAGAAGCUGCUGGCCAAAUACGCCUCUGAAGGGACCACAGAGCUGGCAGCAGAAAAUGGGAAUGAUAGUGAUCAAGCACUUGAAAGCUUGCAAAAGACAGCAGAAGAAAUCCAGGACUGUGCUCACCAAGUCAAAAAAGAGUGGGAAGCAUGGGAUCGAUGGAAGCCAGAGGGAGGUUGUCUUUUCCCCACUGGGGCAAAUACCAUGUGGGGAGUUGAGGCUAUUGCACCUCUGCCGCCGACUAUAACUUACACAAGCGAGGAAGAGCUCAGGGAGCUGGAGAGUCUGAGGAUGCGAGUGGCACUGCUGCAACAACAGGUUUACCUUGAACAGGCUCUGUCGGACACCCUGUCCCCUCAGCUCUCCUCUUUAUUAGCUGGACCUGGAUGUCCUAAAUCCAGUGUCCUGAGAGAUUUAUACUCCCUGCUUGGUGAAGGGGGCGAACGUUUUCCUUCUACAGUCCUGGACUGCGACACUGAUUGA
ensembl:lncRNA tubulin epsilon and delta complex 2